GAUGAACGCUGGCGGCGUGCCUAAUACAUGCAAGUCGAGCGAACAGACGAGGAGCUUGCUCCUCUGACGUUAGCGGCGGACGGGUGAGUAACACGUGGAUAACCUACCUAUAAGACUGGGAUAACUUCGGGAAACCGGAGCUAAUACCGGAUAAUAUAUUGAACCGCAUGGUUCAAUAGUGAAAGACGGUUUUGCCGUCACUUAUAGAUGGAUCCGCGCCGCAUUAGCUAGUUGGUAAGGUAACGGCUUACCAAGGCAGCGAUGCGUAGCCGACCUGAGAGGCUGAUCGGCCACACUGGAACUGAGACACGGUCCAGACUCCUACGGGAGGCAGCAGUAGGGAAUCUUCCGCAAUGGGCGAAAGCCUGACGGAGCAACGCCGCGUGAGUGAUGAAGGUCUUCGGAUCGUAAAACUCUGUUAUUAGGGAAGAACAAAUGUGUAAGUAACUAUGCACGUAUUGACGGUACCUAAUCAGAAAGCCACGGCUAACUACGUG
rnacentral:rRNA from 1 species